rnacentral:rRNA from 1 species
CUACGGGAGGCACCAGUGAGGAAUAUUGCGCAAUGGGGGAAACCCUGACGCAGCGACGCCGCGUGGAUGAUGAAGGCCUUCGGGUCGUAAAAUCCUGUCAGAAGGAAAGAAGUGUAUGGUAGCUAAUAUCUGCCAUACUUGACGGUACCUUCAAAGGAAGCACCGGCUAACUCCGUGCCAGCAGCCGCGGUAAUACGGAGGGUGCAAGCGUUGUUCGGAAUUACUGGGCGUAAAGCGCGCGUAGGCGGGUGUAUAAGUCAGAUGUGAAAGUCCACGGCUCAACCAUGGAAGUGCAUUUGAAACUGUAAGACUUGAGUAUUGGGGGGGGUAGUGGAAUUCCCGGUGUAGAGGUGAAAUUCGUAGAUAUCGGGAGGAAUACCGGUGGCGAAGGCGACUAUCUGGCCAAAUACUGACGCUGAGGUGCGAAAGCGUGGGGAGCAAACAGGAUUAGAUACCCCCGUAGUC